rnacentral:lncRNA from 1 species
CUACGUAUCUCACAUCCGAUGAGAAUCAAACCUGUGUAGUUCGGGCCAAUUAACCGAACUAUUUUAAAACAUGACUUUUUUUUUAUUUUAUUUUUGGCAUUUCAUAUUCCCAAUUUUCAGAGGCCGGUCAGCAUGCAAGUCUAAGGAAAAUAAAUGCGUAAAACAAGUAAAAUGCAUCAUGAUGGUCUUUUUCAUUUCAGGUUGCUAGUCCUAGACGGGCUCAACCCUUGUGUUGAGUCCCCUAAGUCAAAUGCAAUAUGAUGCAAAUAAGUGACCUACUAGGGAUCCAACAUAAAGUCACGUUAUUCUAGGUUCAAAACCUAUGUAUGUAUUCUAGAUUGUGUACACGAGCGGACAACUCGAGUCGAAGAGGGGGCAACUUACCGGGAACCAAAAGGCCAUCUGGCUUAGUAACUUGUCCGGCCUCUUUCUUAUUUCAGGGUAUGACACUAACAGAAUAGGGAGUCUCAACCAGUAAGCUCAUCCGCAGAGGUGAGAAGAGAAGGGUUUCGGCAUAGUUUAUAUACAGUUCAGAUAAUAUCAUAUCGGUAAAACAUUUAGUACAUUUAGCAUGAAGCAUGUAGGAAAAUCAGGUAAACCAAACACAACAAUUAUUCUAAGCUCGAAUUCUUAAACCCGGAACCGAAGUUCUGGGUUUGUGUCCCCAG